rnacentral:rRNA from 1 species
UAGGGAGCGAGCGUUGUCCGGAUUUACUGGGUGUAAAGGGUGCGCAGGCGGCUCUGCAAGUCAGGCGUGAACGCUAGGGGCUCAACCCCUAAACUGCGCUUGAAACUGUGGAGCUUGAGUGAAGUAGAGGCAGGCGGAAUUCCCGGUGUAGCGGUGAAAUGCGUAGAGAUCGGGAGGAACACCAGUGGCGAAGGCGGCCUGCUGGGCUUUAACUGACGCUCAGGCACGAAAGCAUGGGUAGCAAA